rnacentral:sRNA from 1 species
AAAUAAACCCGACCGCCAGCGUUAUCCCGAUAAGAAUGGUUUAAUUUACACGUUUCUUUUAUCGGGAUUAAGCAAAGGGCGGGGCUAAAG